rnacentral:lncRNA from 1 species
GGUGUACUGGUAGAGCAAGGCAGGGUGUAUACAGGGUGUACUGGUAGAGCAAGGCAGGGUGUAUACAGGCUAUAUACAGGGGUGUACUGGUAGAGCAAGGCAGGGUGUAUACAGGGUGUACUGG